UUGCUUUGGCAGCACAUACAGUAGAAUUGGAAUGGUAUAGAGAAGAUUAGCAUGGCCCCUGUGCAAGGAUGACAGGCAAAUUCAUGAAGUGUUCCAUGUAUUU
rnacentral:snRNA from 1 species